rnacentral:rRNA from 1 species
AGUGAACGCUGGCGGUAGGCCUAACACAUGCAAGUCGAACGGCAGCACAGUAGGAGCUUGCUCUUACGGGUGGCGAGUGGCGGACGGGUGAGGAAUACAUCGGAAUCUACUUUUUCGUGGGGGAUAACGUAGGGAAACUUACGCUAAUACCGCAUACGACCUACGAGUGAAAGCAGGGGAUCUUCGGACCUUGCGCGAUUGAAUGAGCCGAUGUCGGAUUAGCUAGUUGGCGGGGUAAAGGCCCACCAAGGCGACGAUCCGUAGCUGGUCUGAGAGGAUGAUCGGCCACACUGGAACUGGGACACGGUCCAGACUCCUACGGGAGGCAGCAGUGGGGAAUAUUGGACAAUGGGCGCAAGCCUGAUCCAGCCAUACCGCGUGGGUGAAGAAGGCCUUCGGGUUGUAAAGCCCUUUUGUUGGGAAAGAAAAGCAGCAGGUUAAUACCCCGCUGUUCUGACGGUACCCAAAGAAUAAGCACCGGCUAACUUCGUG